GCCAUCCACGCCCGCCCUCCAGCGCUGCGGUCGCGCCUGGCCGGAGCUCGCGCCGACCGGAGCCCGGGCCUGCCGGAUCCCGCCCCAGGCCGGAGCUCCUCGCCGGCCGUGCGCGCGCCGUAGCGCUGCUCACCCGCGGCCCCCUCUCCGAGCGCGACUUCCACGCCGGCUUUGCCUUCGUCUCCGGCAAGAACCCCGGCCUUUCAAGAUAUGCACAUUUUUAUUGGCCUGGCUGCUGAAUGGAUCCAGGAGCCAGUCGUUAUGGAACCAGACUGCAUGGUUGCCAUCCAAUAUUUGAAGGAGGUGAAGGUCUUGAAGCCUGUAUGUCUCUCCAUCAUUCAAGAGGCUUCUCAUGAAGCUAGUAGAUUGCCAGGUUUUGAGUUGAAUCAUGUAAAGAGAGAUAGGAAUUCAGUAGCCAAGGAUCUUGCACAAAUGGCGAAGUGCCUGAACCACAGUGCUGUGUGGUGAGGCGGUUAUCCUGCCUGUACUGAGCAGCUGAUUGCUCUUGAUUGUAACAUUUCCAUGAGUAAUCAAUAAAAUCUCGAGUAUGUUUUAUGGUUCCCCA